rfam:Homo sapiens chromosome 19, GRCh38 reference primary assembly.
GCCGGGCGUGGUGGCACGCGCCUGUAAUCCCAGCUACUCGGGAGGCUGAAGCAGGAGAAUCGCUUGAACCCGGGAGGCAGAGGUUGCAGUGAGCCAUGAUAGCGCCACUGCACUCCAGCCUGGGUAACAGAGUGAGACUCUGUCUCAA